rnacentral:rRNA from 1 species
AUUGAACGCUGGCGGCAGGCCUAACACAUGCAAGUCGAACGGUAACAGGGAUCAGCUUGCUGAUUCGCUGACGAGUGGCGGACGUGUGAGUAAUGUCUGGGACACUGCCUGCUGGAGGGGGAUAACUACUGGAAACGGUAGCUAAUACCGCAUAACGUCGCAAGACCAAAGAGGUGGACCUUCGGGCCUCUUUCCAUCGGAUGUGCCCAGAUGGGAUUAGCUAGUAGGUGGGGUAACGGCUCACCUAGGCGACGAUCCCUAGCUGGUCUGAGAGGAUGACCAGCCACACGGGAACUGAGACACGGACCAGGCUCCUACGGGAGGCAGCAGUGGGGAAUAUUGCACAAUGGGCGCAAGCCUGAUGCAGCCAUGCCGCGUGUAUGAAGAAGGCCUUCGGGUUGUAAAGUACUUUCAGCGGGGAGGAAGGGAGUAAAGUUAAUACCUUGGCUCAUUGACGUUACCCGCAGAAGAAGCACCGGCUAACUCCGUG